rnacentral:SRP_RNA from 1 species
CCUGUGCAACAUAGCGAGACCCCGUCUCUUU